UACGUAGGUCCCGAGCGUUGUCCGGAUUUAUUGGGCGUAAAGCGAGCGCAGGUGGUUUAUUAAGUUUGGUGUAAAAGGCAGUGGCUCAACCAUUGUAUGCAUUGGAAACUGGUAGACUUGAGUGCAGGAGAGGAGAGUGGAAUUCCAUGUGUAGCGGUGAAAUGCGUAGAUAUAUGGAGGAACACCGGUGGCGAAAGCGGCUCUCUGGCCUGUAACUGACACUGAGGCUCGAAAGCGUGGGGAGCAAACAGG
rnacentral:rRNA from 1 species